AUUGAACGCUGGCGGCAUGCCUUACACAUGCAAGUCGAACGGUAACAGGUCUUCGGAUGCUGACGAGUGGCGAACGGGUGAGUAAUACAUCGGAACGUGCCCGAGAGUGGGGGAUAACGAGGCGAAGGCUUUGCUAAUACCGCAUACGAUCUCAGGAUGAAAGCAGGGGACCGCAAGGCCUUGCGCUCACGGGGCGGCCGAUGGCAGAUUAGGUAGUUGGUGGGAUAAAAGCUUACCAAGCCGACGAUCUGUAGCUGGUCUGAGAGGACGACCAGCCACACUGGGACUGAGACACGGCCCAGACUCCUACGGGAGGCAGCAGUGGGGAAUUUUGGACAAUGGGCGCAAGCCUGAUCCAGCAAUGCCGCGUGCAGGAAGAAGGCCUUCGGGUUGUAAACUGCUUUUGUACGGAACGAAACGGUCCGGGUUAAUACCCUGGGCUAAUGACGGUACCGUAAGAAUAAGCACCGGCUAACUACGUGCCAGCAGCCGCCGUAAUAC
rnacentral:rRNA from 1 species